GUGCCCCCACCCCGCCCCUCUUCUCUCUCCAUCUUAUCUCUUCGACGACGACUCCUCUCCCCGUCCCGCCGUCGCCUCUGCUCCUCCAUGUCACCGCGUCCUCCCCUCCUCUCCCCGGUCCGCCCCGCUGCCUCCUCCUCCACUCCUCCCCCUCGUCGCAGUCUCCUCCCUCCGCGGCGGUGCACGGUCAUGCGCGCGGGGACGGGGCGCGGAGCGGACUGCGAGCGCGCGAGGGGACGCGACGUCCUCGGCCUCCACGCGCGUCCAGUGGUUCACAUCGGCGGCGGGCCGCACCGGCACAAGCCCCCAGGCCCCAGCCCCUAGCAGCCCGCCCCCAGCCGCUGGCGCUCGCGGCUCGCGCAGGCGCAAGGGCCAGGCUCCGCCGCUCCGGCCGCGGGCCGCCUGCCGCGCGUGGCGCGCCCACGCCGCACAGGGGGCAGGCCGGCAGGGGCAGCGCCGGCCGCCGCCACGCUGCGCAGCCAGCGCAGGGCCGUCGAUGCGAUGCUGGUUUACCACGAGCCAACCAGAAGUUAAGAUUCGAUCCCUUACCUUUCCUCCCAUCUUGUCUUCUUGUUCUGAUUCGAUCUGGAUCUGAUCCGCGGGUUAAGGUAACAAGUUGGAAAAACAGGGUAUAUCACGUCCAUGUGGUUCUUAAAAUAUUUGAUCAAGUAGACAAGACUCUGAACAUCAUAUUGAGUCAAAUUGAAAUUAUCCAGAUCGAAUAGUUCAAGGAUGCUGCAAUGGAACAGGGCGAACGACUGAGGACAAAGUAUCUAGAAUACAUUCACCCACCAGCACCUGGGCAUGUAGAUCCCACACAACUAGAUCAAUUCUACUGCUUGUAUUUAGCUCAUGCUAAUCAUAUUACCUUGUCUAGAAUUCUAGAUAGAGUAAUGGGUAUCUGCAAAGGCAGUGAGCCCUGAUCUAUGAUGGUGCUGGCAAGUGGCAAGCUUUUACUACUUCCUUAUCAGUGUAUCUAAUUUUGGUUCCAGAUGACACUUAUAGCUUUGCGAGAACAGUAUCUGGUUGAAGUUCACAACAAAACUAAAUGGCUGUGUUGAAAGCACAAACUGAAAAUGAAGUCUAUUCAACACCAUUUGAUCUUUCUGAUAUCAAGUGAUAAACUCUUGAUGCUGGAAAUCAGUUAGCUGUUCAGAAGUUAUUACUGCAAAGCAUAUACUGCUGCAAAGCAUAUACUGUACCUUACUGUUUAUUUCUCAUUGCCAUUCCUUUUUCAUAUGAUGUACUUGAGUUGCUCAUCAAUUAACUGUUCGGGGAGAUACAUAGAUAACAAUUAGUUACCGUGAUGUAUGUAUGAGCACAGAUGUAUAACAUAUGUAUGUAUAUGUGAUCAGAGAGGCACUAUGAUGUAUAUAUAUACCUUAUUUAUUAUUAAAUUUUGUCAGUUAUUUUUUUAA